UGGGGUUAGCCCAGUCGAUAGAGCAUGAAACUCAUAAUUUCAGGGUUAUGGGUUUGAACCCCACAUUGGAAA